rnacentral:rRNA from 1 species
GAUGAACGCUAGCGGCAGGCUUAAUACAUGCAAGUCGAGGGGCAUCAAGGUACACGAAAGUGUAUUGUUGGCGACCGGCGGACGGGUGAGUAAUAGGUAGGUAACCUACCUCAUACUGAGGCAUAGCUGGGAGAAAUUCCAGGUAAUUCCUCAUGAGGUUAUAUGACACAUGUGAUAUAAUCAAAGGUAUCGCAAGGUACUGGUAUGAGAUGGGCUUACUGACCAUUAGCUAGUUGGUGAGAUAAGAGCUCACCAAGGCGAAGAUGGUUAGGGGUUUUGAGAGAGAGAUCCCCCACAUUGGAACUGAGAUACGGUCCAGACUCCUACGGGAGGCAGCAGUAGGGAAUAUUGGGCAAUGGGCGAAAGCCUGACCCAGCCAUGCCGCGUGAAGGAAGACGGCCUUAUGGGUUGUAAACUUCUUUACUAUACGAAUAGAGGUUAGUACGAGUUACUAAUAGGAAGGUAGUAUAGCAAAAAGCACCGGCUAACUCCGUGCC